UCACUGUGUUUCAUUUACUGUGUCACUGAGGUCACAAAUCACUGUCUGAAUUCUACAUUGGAAAAACCCUCUCUAUGCAUCCCUUAAUGUUAAUCUGCUGGCAGUGUGACGUGUAAAGUUCGUCUGAAUAAGCAGCUGAGUCACUUUCAUGGUCAUGAAGGAAAAUUUACUGAGUCAACAUUUCUGUACCUUUGUCAACACAACAGAAUUCAGUGGUGUCAGAUGAACGUACAGGCUGCAGCAGCACAGUGUAUACAGAGAUGUAAAGUCGUGUUUUGUGCAGCUUUGUAAGAUGCAUAAAGAAAAUAAAAGUUACUAGUUUAAUAAACUAUGAAAUAUUGUGAAAGAAUCAUCUUUGAGUUGUUGAGACUGUUUUAAUAUCAGAUAGUUUGGUUUUCCUCUCACAGUGUAACUGCAGCACAAGAGGGUUAAAAAUCCUUCUUACAGUCAAAGUAAUAAUUUAACCACUAUAUUUUAUCAUUUUUUUACAGUUGCAUUUACAUUAUGAAAAAACGGAAUAUCCAGCAGCUUAUUUGACUGUUAUUUUUCUCUACAGAGCAUUGUUCAAAACAUUCUGUCUUCUCCAGAAAGUGAACACAGCAUCUAACCACAGUUCAAAGAGGGUUCAUCGUCUUCAUGCUCCUCUACAGAGAGCACUGAAAACCAAACACCAUUAUAUAAACCAACUACUGUUCCUGUCUGACACAUCACCUGCAUGUGUAUGUUGCUUUUACAGUAGCCUUAAAUAUGUACAUUUUGAUCCAAAGCUUUAACAUCCCAGUGGCUUCACACCCUCUCAUUUUUUAUACAUUUUGUUUUUAAAACAGUUUUUGUGCUGUUCAUUUAUGAAUGCUUAUUUGGGUGGGGGGUUGGGGGGUGUGAAGGAUAGCCAAGAGUUGGACAGCAGUGAUAACUGGAGACAGUAUUAUAAGCCUACAGAAGGAAACCAAGGUGAUCAUAAAUUAUACUAAGAAACCCCAAGCAGGCCCAUGAACCAGACUUCAGCACACCAGCAGAAAUACUGCAGUUAAGGAAAGGGGGGAUGUUUCUGUGAGAAAGGGAAGUAGUAUACACAUCCCUACAAAACAGGAACUGUAGGCAGAGUGUGUGUCGGUAAGAAAAAAAGAAAAACGAGCCCUUGAGUUUAUUGAAAAAGAAA